CAGUAGCCGCGGGAAUACGAAGGGGGCUAGCGUUGCUCGGAAUGACUGGGCGUAAAGAGCUCGUAGGCGGUUUGUCGCGUCUGCUGUGAAAACUGGAGGCUCAACCUCCAGCCUGCAGUGGGUACGGGCAAACUAGAGUGCGGUAGGGGAGAUUGGAAUUCCUGGUGUAGCGGUGGAAUGCGCAGAUAUCAGGAGGAACACCGAUGGCGAAGGCAGAUCUCUGGGCCGUAACUGACGCUGAGGAGCGAAAGCAUGGGGAGCGAACAGGAUUAGAUACCCCCGUAGUCCCUGUCUCUUAUAC
rnacentral:rRNA from 1 species